rnacentral:rRNA from 1 species
UGGGGAAUCUUGCACAAUGGGGGAAACCCUGAUGCAGCGACGCCGCGUGAGCGAUGAAGGUUUUCGAAUCGUAAAGCUCUGUCCUAUGGGAAGAUAAUGACGGUACCAUAGGAGGAAGCCCCGGCUAACUACGUGCCAGCAGCCGCGGUGAUACGUAGGGGGCGAGCGUUGUCCGGAAUUACUGGGCGUAAAGGGUUCGCAGGCGGCAUGACAAGUCCGAUGUAAAAGGCGAAAGCUCAACUUUCGUAAGCAUCGGAAACUGUCAAGCUUGAGUGAAGGAGAGGCAAGUGGAAUUCCUAGUGUAGCGGUGGAAUGCGUAGAUAUUAGGAGGAAUACCGGUGGCGAAGGCGACUUGCUGGACUUCAACUGACGCUGAGGAACGAAAGCGUGGGUAGCAAACAGG